rnacentral:rRNA from 1 species
UACGAAGGGGGCUAGCGUUGUUCGGAAUUACUGGGCGUAAAGCGCGCGCAGGCGGUCUUCCAAGUCAGUGGUGAAAGCCCGGAGCUCAACUCCGGAACUGCCAUUGAAACUGUUAGACUUGAGGAUGAGAGAGGUGAGUGGAAUUCCCAGUGUAGAGGUGAAAUUCGUAGAUAUUGGGAAGAACACCAGUGGCGAAGGCGGCUCACUGGCUCGUAACUGACGCUCAGGCGCGACAGCGUGGGGAUCAAACAGG